rnacentral:rRNA from 1 species
AGUAAUGCUUGGGAAUCUGGCUUAUGGAGGGGGAUAACGACGGGAAACUGUCGCUAAUACCGCGUAUUAUCGGAAGAUGAAAGUGCGGGACUGAGAGGCCGCAUGCCAUAGGAUGAGUCCAAGUGGGAUUAGGUAGUUGGUGGGGUAAGGGCCUACCAAGCCUGCGAUCUCUAGCUGGUCUGAGAGGAUGACCAGCCACACUGGAACUGAGACACGGUCCAG